rnacentral:rRNA from 1 species
CCUGCCCAAGAGAUCGGGAUAACACCUGGAAACAGAUGCUAAUACCGGAUAACAACAGAUGAUGCCUAUCAACUGUUUAAAAGAUGGUUCUGCUAUCACUCUUGGAUGGAACUGCGGUGCAUUAGCUAGUUGGUAGGGUAACGGCCUACCAAGGCGAUGAUGCAUAGCCGAGUUGAGAGACUGAUCGGCCACAUUGGGACUGAGACACGGCCCAAACUCCUACGGGAGGCAGCAGAG